rnacentral:rRNA from 1 species
CUACGGGCUGCUGCAGUCGAGAAUCUUCGGCAAUGGACGCAAGUCCGACCGAGCGACGCCGCGUGCGGGAUGAAGGCCUUCGGGUUGUAAACCGCUGUCAGUUAGGAGGAAAUCUAUAGGGGUUAUCCCCUAUAGUUGACCUAUUUUCAGAGGAAGUGCGGGCUAAGUUCGUGCCAGCAGCCGCGGUAAGACGAACCGCACAAACGUUAUUCGGAAUCACUGGGCUUAAAGGGUGCGUAGGCGGCCUUUCAAGUCAGGUGUGAAAUCCCACAGCUCAACUGUGGAAUUGCGCUUGAUACUGGGAGGCUUGAGUAAGAUAGAGGUGAGCGGAACUUAAGGUGGAGCGGUGGAAUGUGUUGAUAUCUUAAGGAACACCAGUUGCGAAAGCGGCUCACUGGGUCUUAACUGACGCUGAGGCACGAAAGCUAGGGGAGCGAACAGGAUUAGAUACCCGAGUAGUC